GGUUUGAGUUCUGAUUGCUGCCAGAACCACCGCCGGGACUACCGUUGCUUGAUUUGGCCGUUCUUUCUUAGUUUUGUGUUGCUGUGGUUACCGCGGGAGUGGCUUGGAGCCAAGGUUGCGUUGUUGGUGAUCUCGGUUUAAGAGAGGAGGUUCUUGUGACGCGUUUGGGUUAUGGAAUUGCGUUUUGAGGAUAUGGGCGCAGAAGUUAUGAAGAGUUUAUUUAGUUGUUGAGAUGCUUUGUAUUGCCUUAGAUUAUUUACUGUACCCUCGCCUUUAUCUUGAUAUAUUCUGUAAGAGGGAUAGGGAUUGUAUUGGUUAAAGCUUGUAAUAUUAUCUAUGUAUAUAUGAGUAUAUAUGUAUGUAUAUGGAUGUACUCUUUAUGAGUUUUUGUAAGUUGUAUGGUAUCUAU